rnacentral:rRNA from 1 species
UACGGAGGAUGCAAGCGUUAUCCGGAAUUAUUGGGCGUAAAGCGUCCGCAGGUGGCUAUGUAAGUCUGCUGUUAAAGAGUCUAGCUCAACUAGAUAAGAGCAGUGGAAACUACAAGGCUAGAGUACGUUAGGGGCAGAGGGAAUUCCUGGUGUAGCGGUGAAAUGCGUAGAGAUCAGGAAGAACACCAGUGGCGAAGGCGCUCUGCUAGGCCGUAACUGACGCUGAGGGACGAAAGCUAGGGGAGCGAAUGGG